rnacentral:rRNA from 1 species
UUAGUAGGCGGCGGAAGAUAACCCAAAAGGGAUUCCUUCAGUAAUGGCGAAUGAACGGGGAAAAGCUCAGCAAAGAAAUCAGGGACCCCGUCCUUGAGUUGUGGACUUGAGAGGUAUUGCCAAUGGUGGCGCAGGUGCGGGCCUCUUGGAAAAGGGCACCACAGAGGGUGUGAGUCCUGUUUGUCAUCUGUAGUCCGCCAUGUACGGCAUGCCUCCUCAGAGUCACGUUCCUUGGAAUUGGAGCGCGAAGGUGGUGGUGGCUUUCAUCUCAAGCUAAAUAUGGGUUCGAGACCGAUAGCAAACAAGUACCAUGAGGGAAAAUUGAAAAGAGCUUUGGAAAGAGAGUUAAAAGUGCCCGAACUUGCUGAUAGGGAAGCGAAGGGAGCUGACGUUGCUUGGUGACAUUUUCCGCGCAAGAGUAGGAUGGGUUCUGAUUGCAAUGUGCGUAGUGCUUCUUGCCGUGCGUGUCGAUGCCAAGCAACGAGUGGGGAGAGCACCAGGGAUAUGAUUGUUCUGUCCCCGGGUGGACGAAGGUGCCUGGUCGCAUCCAUUUGUGGGCUGAAACAAGUGGUGGCUGGUUGCAGCGCUCCAUAACUGCCAGGCAGUUGGGGUGCAGCCCUGAUACGCAGACGAGGACAAAGUGCUUCUGUUCGACCCGUCUUGAAA